CAGCCGCCGCGGUAAUACAGAGGGUGCAAGCGUUAAUCGGAAUUACUGGGCGUAAAGCGCGCGUAGGUGGUUUGUUAAGUUGGAUGUGAAAGCCCCGGGCUCAACCUGGGAACUGCAUUCAAAACUGGCAAGCUAGAGUACGGUAGAGGGUGGUGGAAUUUCCUGUGUAGCGGUGAAAUGCGUAGAUAUAGGAAGGAACACCAGUGGCGAAGGCGACCACCUGGACUGAUACUGACACUGAGGUGCGAAAGCGUGGGGAGCAAACAGGAUUAGAUACCCCAGUAGUCCCUGUCUCUUAUAC
rnacentral:rRNA from 1 species